GUGAGCUUCCUGGCUCCAGCUUGGCAGUGAAGUGGAAGUGGAGCCGGUCUUGUGUGCUGUUCAACUAAAAGUCCUCCAGGAAACCGCGUGGAGCGCUUGUGAAAGCUAGGAAACCGCGACAUGGAUACACUUGGGAAGACCAUAAUAUUGAAAAUCAUUCUCAAUGGUCUAGAAGAUAUGAAAGGCAUGAAGGAAGUCAAACUGGAGGGAAAACUGCCAUAUACCUUCAAAGUAUUAAAGUCAUUGCAUGUGACAGUGAUCUUCAAAGGCAUACAAGAACUAAUCCUAGGGAGAAACCAUAUGAGUAAGCAAUGUGUGAAGCCCAUUGCAUGUCCCAAAAGCCAUGAAAAUCAUAACAGAACAUAUACUGGAGAGAAACACUUUGAAUGUUAUCACUAUGAUAAAGCCUUUGCAUAUCAUAGUCAUCUUAAAAGACAUAAAAGAAUACAUACUGGAGAGAAACCCUAUGUAUGUUCUCAU